UACGUAGGUGGCAAGCGUUUUCCGGAUUUACUGGGUGUAAAGGGCGAGUAGGCGGAGCAGCAAGUCAGAUGUGAAAUCUCCCGGCUCAACUGGGAGGCUGCAUUUGAAACUGUUGUUCUUGAGUGAUGGAGAGGCAGGCGGAAUUCCUUGUGUAGCGGUGAAAUGCGUAGAUAUAAGGAGGAACACCAGUGGCGAAGGCGGCCUGCUGGACAUUAACUGACGCUGAGGCGCGAAAGCGUGGGGAGCAAACAGG
rnacentral:rRNA from 1 species